rnacentral:tRNA from 1 species
GGGGUUGUAGCUCAGUGGUGGAGCACUUGCCUGGCAUGUAUGAGGCACUGGGUUUGAUUCUCAGCAUCGCAU